UCGGCUCGAUAAAAAAUAAAUAAAUAGGCAGAGCAUAUUAAGCACAGUAGAAUUCGAAAUGGGGAAAACGGGAUUCUAGGAGGGAUUAUUUUUCUUUUCCUAGAGUCCGUCCGAUUCAUUCUUGCUUGUAUCGAAAUAUUCUACAAAAUUUUAAGAAAAUAAUACUUCUGGAUCCCCUUCCUAAAAGAAUCCUAUUCUUAGUUUCGAUUUUUUCCAACUUAGAACUUUUAUGUUUAUGACAUAUAAUAUGUGGUGGAGUAGUGGACAAACACAAAAAAGAGAGGGAAUUUUAUUGACCAAAUACAAAACGUCUUCAAUUAACUUGUUUAGAAAAAAGAAUUCAAUCAUGAUUCGAUACUAUUAGAUACUAAAAUAAAAUCGAUUUAGAGUAAGAUUCGAUUAGGAUACUUAAGAAAGGUUAGGUUCACAUGAUAUUUGAUCGAUAAAUAUAUAGAAUAUAAUUAAGAAUGUAUUCCAAUAUAAUACAAUAGAAUUCAUUAUAUUUAUAUUGCACCACCCAGAAAAAGUAAAUCAAGCGAUUCCUUUUAUUCUUUCUUUUUUUUUACUUUAUCUUUCUUUCAAUUUUAAAUAAAAAGUAUUGACAGAUAUUAUUCCGUAAAAGAUGUUUUGAAUCAAUUAAUGAAGUUGAUUUUUCAAAAACAUCAUCAAAAACAAUGAAAUAAAUGGAGUUUUUUUUUUAAUCGCAAAAAGCAAUCUAAUAUCUAGUGAGUCAUUUGUACGAACAAAAAAUAUUUUAAUUAUUAAGAACUCAACGGGACCCCCUCGAAUUUGUCAAAGAAAGGGUGGAUCCCUGUUGAGUUCUUACACUUUCAUUUCGAAAACUCAAUUCAUCCAAUUACUACAGGGAUGAGCCCAAUCCGGAAUAUGAACCAUAAAAGAAAAUACCAAUUAAACCGAUCACAGCAAUACCAGUUACAGUACCUAUUAUCCAAAGAGGAAUCCUUCCAGUAGUAUCGGCCAUUUAUCCCACUUUCCUCCACAUUUUAUUAAGUAGUCAUGCUAGAGACAUAAACAGUCAUAGAUAAUUAUGAAAUGAUAUCUUUCCGACUGGGAUAAGAUAAUUCUUACUAUUUCCUUUUCUUCUAUUAAUUGAAGAAAUAAUUUGAAAAUAAAACAGCAAGUACAAAAAUUAGUAAUAAACCCCAGUAGAGACUGGUACGAUUCAAUUCAACAUUUUGUUCGUUUGGGUUUGAUUGUGUCGUAGCUCUAUAAUUCGGAUUAGGUUUAUCGUUGGAUGAACUGCAUUGCUGAUAUUGAUCCCAAAAAAGAAACGGUGGGUACCGCUAGUCCGUGAACAGCCAACCAUCGUACUGUAAAAAUUGGAUAGGUCCUAUCUAUGGUCAUUUGAGCCUCCUAAAAAGAUCUACUAAAUUCAUCGAGUUGUUCCAAAGGAUCAAAACGGCCGGUUAUUAAUGGAAUUCCUUGUCGGCUCUCUGUAAAAUACUCGUUUGGGCGGGGACUUCCAAAUACAUCGUAAGCUAAACCCGUGCUGACAAAUAGCCACCCCGCAAUGAAUAGGGAGGGUAUAGUAAUGCUAUGAAUAAUCCAGUAUCGAAUACUGGUAAUAAUAUCAGCAAAAGAACGUUCUCCUGUGCUUCCAGACAUGUCGAACUCCACAUAUUCUUGUACAGUAAAAAGGGGGUCGAUUCCAUAAAAGAUGAAAUCAUCAGUAAGUAGAAAUUUACUGAAAUUUAAUCUUUGUUAGAUCGUCAAUAUUGUACCAAGGGUGUCUUUCGAGUAUACCGAACCAGUAUAGCUAUCCUUCUUCUGAUACAGCAAUUCAAUUUCACAAUAAGUGGCGAGAUUAAGGACUAGAUAAUUUUUUUCUUCUUUGCUUGUUGGUUUGGUUGUCUCGAUGUACUGUACUAAAUGAGAGUAUAAGAAUUUUUUUAUACUCUAAAAUUAGGGUUCUCGACAUUAUUCUAUUAUUAUUAGUUUCGCACUAUACUCGAAACUGAGAAUCAAUUAAAAUGGUAAUCCGACCGAUUGGUUUCUAAUAAUUCAGGAAGGAAAUUAUCAUAUUUCUACAAUUCAAUUAGAUGUGAAAUCUAGAAAUAUACUUUUUUGUGAUUGUCAAAGAUGUUUUUUUUGUUGGAACCUACUCCCUUUUAUUUAAUUUUAAAGAGUGGAAUUGGUUAGUCGUUCAGUAACAAUAAUAGCGGUAAUAAAUUAAAUACUAUUUGAUGGAAGAAAAAGUUGAUUAGUUGUUCUUGUAUUAGACACAAAAAAGGUUCUUUCUUGGCUUAAUUACAAGGAUAAAGCUUUUUUUUAUUAAAAUUAUAAAUAGAAAAGGGGAAAGAAAAAAACGGCGGAAUACCAGUUUCGAGUGAUCUGAUACCCUCUUUCUUCUCGUUGUAUAUAUUAGAAGAAUGGAAACUCCUACUACUAAAUCUAAUGGAUUAAAAUCAAAGGAAAAAAAGUAAAUGACAUUCUAAGGUCACUCUUUCUUCUUUUCUUCUAAACUGAAGAAGGAAAAUAGAAAAAAUUAGAUACAAUAAAAAAAACAAGGGGGGUUUUCAAAUAGAUAUUUUUCGUAUUUUCUUUCAUAUUAAUUUUAAGUUGAAUUAAAUUAAACAACAAAGUUUCUUUUUAUUCUUUUUUUUUUUUUAUAUUAAUUAUUAUUUUUAUUAUUUUGUAUUCCUGAUAAUAUAUAAUUUUAUAAUUAUAUAGAAUAUAAAUAAUAAAUAUUAUAUAUUCUAUUUUUAAUACAAAAUUAAAAUAAUCUAAAAUUAAGAUGAAAAUAAUCUAAUUAGAUUGGUUUACUCAACUCACGAGUUGUUCAAUGAAUUUGUUGAUUUGAAAUCACAAGAUGAGUAGAUGUCACAGAUGAUGAAUUGCUUUCUUAUCUAUGUCACUCUAUUUUGCUUCGUCUGUAAUUGAUGAAUCACAAAUAUUCAAUUGUACCUUUCAAGUUUGUUUAUUUUACAAUUUUUCUCCUCAAAAUGGAAACUUAGGGAAGUGCUUUAUAAACAUAUGUAUGUAUAAAAAAAAAAAUUUCAUUUAGCUUCUUUAUGCCCACUAUAACUAGUUAUUUCGGUUUUCUACUAGCGGCUUUAACUAUAACCUCAGCUCUAUUUAUUGGUCUGAGUAAGAUACGACUUAUUUGAUUUGAAAUGAUAAAAUGAAUUGACAAUUUUUUUAUAUUCUAGAUAUUCCACAGUUCCUUAUCGUGUCCAUUUCCAAUUUCUUGGUCGUUGGGAUUCAUGGUCAAUAUAGAUUAAUAUUUAAGGAUAGAUAUUACCUCCCCCUUUCCCUUUCAAACAAAUUCAAAUGAUUGAAGUUUUUCUCUUUGGAAUCGUGUUAGGUCUCAUUCCUAUUACUUUGGCUGGAUUAUUCGUAACUGCAUAUUUACAAUACCGACGUGGUGAUCAGUUAGACCUUUGAUCAAUUAACACCUCUUUUGUUUAUUGACCUACUAUUUCUUUGUUUUAAUCCUAAUCCCAGAGGUCAAAUUCAGACUUUAGACUGUGGUUCAAAUAUUUCGCAGUGUCGUUCUGUCUGGAUCUAACAAGAAUGGAAUCACGCUCUGUAGGAUUUGAACCUACGACAUCGGGUUUUGGAGACCCGCGUUCUACCGAACUGAACUAAGAGCGCUUUAUUCUCAUAAAUAAUUUUAUGAGACCCCAAUACAUCUUGCAGGCAUAUACUAUAUCAAUAUAUCACAAUAUAUAUUGUGAUAUAUUGAUAUAGUAUAUGCCUGCAAGAUGUAUUGGGGUCUCAUAAAAUUAUUUAUGAGAAUAAAGCGCUCUUAGUUCAGUUCGGUAGAACGCGGGUCUCCAAAACCCGAUGUCGUAGGUUCAAAUCCUACAGAGCGUGAUUCCAUUCUUGUUAGAUCCAGACAGAACGACACUGCGAAAUAUUUGAACCACAGUCUAAAGUCUGAAUUUGACCUCUGGGAUUAGGAUUAAAACAAAGAAAUAGUAGGUCAAUAAACAAAAGAGGUGUUAAUUGAUCAAAGGUCUAACUGAUCACCACGUCGGUAUUGUAAAUAUGCAGUUACGAAUAAUCCAGCCAAAGUAAUAGGAAUGAGACCUAACACGAUUCCAAAGAGAAAAACUUCAAUCAUUUGAAUUUGUUUGAAAGGGAAAGGGGGAGGUAAUAUCUAUCCUUAAAUAUUAAUCUAUAUUGACCAUGAAUCCCAACGACCAAGAAAUUGGAAAUGGACACGAUAAGGAACUGUGGAAUAUCUAGAAUAUAAAAAAAUUGUCAAUUCAUUUUAUCAUUUCAAAUCAAAUAAGUCGUAUCUUACUCAGACCAAUAAAUAGAGCUGAGGUUAUAGUUAAAGCCGCUAGUAGAAAACCGAAAUAACUAGUUAUAGUGGGCAUAAAGAAGCUAAAUGAAAUUUUUUUUUUUAUACAUACAUAUGUUUAUAAAGCACUUCCCUAAGUUUCCAUUUUGAGGAGAAAAAUUGUAAAAUAAACAAACUUGAAAGGUACAAUUGAAUAUUUGUGAUUCAUCAAUUACAGACGAAGCAAAAUAGAGUGACAUAGAUAAGAAAGCAAUUCAUCAUCUGUGACAUCUACUCAUCUUGUGAUUUCAAAUCAACAAAUUCAUUGAACAACUCGUGAGUUGAGUAAACCAAUCUAAUUAGAUUAUUUUCAUCUUAAUUUUAGAUUAUUUUAAUUUUGUAUUAAAAAUAGAAUAUAUAAUAUUUAUUAUUUAUAUUCUAUAUAAUUAUAAAAUUAUAUAUUAUCAGGAAUACAAAAUAAUAAAAAUAAUAAUUAAUAUAAAAAAAAAAAAAGAAUAAAAAGAAACUUUGUUGUUUAAUUUAAUUCAACUUAAAAUUAAUAUGAAAGAAAAUACGAAAAAUAUCUAUUUGAAAACCCCCCUUGUUUUUUUUAUUGUAUCUAAUUUUUUCUAUUUUCCUUCUUCAGUUUAGAAGAAAAGAAGAAAGAGUGACCUUAGAAUGUCAUUUACUUUUUUUCCUUUGAUUUUAAUCCAUUAGAUUUAGUAGUAGGAGUUUCCAUUCUUCUAAUAUAUACAACGAGAAGAAAGAGGGUAUCAGAUCACUCGAAACUGGUAUUCCGCCGUUUUUUUCUUUCCCCUUUUCUAUUUAUAAUUUUAAUAAAAAAAAGCUUUAUCCUUGUAAUUAAGCCAAGAAAGAACCUUUUUUGUGUCUAAUACAAGAACAACUAAUCAACUUUUUCUUCCAUCAAAUAGUAUUUAAUUUAUUACCGCUAUUAUUGUUACUGAACGACUAACCAAUUCCACUCUUUAAAAUUAAAUAAAAGGGAGUAGGUUCCAACAAAAAAAACAUCUUUGACAAUCACAAAAAAGUAUAUUUCUAGAUUUCACAUCUAAUUGAAUUGUAGAAAUAUGAUAAUUUCCUUCCUGAAUUAUUAGAAACCAAUCGGUCGGAUUACCAUUUUAAUUGAUUCUCAGUUUCGAGUAUAGUGCGAAACUAAUAAUAAUAGAAUAAUGUCGAGAACCCUAAUUUUAGAGUAUAAAAAAAUUCUUAUACUCUCAUUUAGUACAGUACAUCGAGACAACCAAACCAACAAGCAAAGAAGAAAAAAAUUAUCUAGUCCUUAAUCUCGCCACUUAUUGUGAAAUUGAAUUGCUGUAUCAGAAGAAGGAUAGCUAUACUGGUUCGGUAUACUCGAAAGACACCCUUGGUACAAUAUUGACGAUCUAACAAAGAUUAAAUUUCAGUAAAUUUCUACUUACUGAUGAUUUCAUCUUUUAUGGAAUCGACCCCCUUUUUACUGUACAAGAAUAUGUGGAGUUCGACAUGUCUGGAAGCACAGGAGAACGUUCUUUUGCUGAUAUUAUUACCAGUAUUCGAUACUGGAUUAUUCAUAGCAUUACUAUACCCUCCCUAUUCAUUGCGGGGUGGCUAUUUGUCAGCACGGGUUUAGCUUACGAUGUAUUUGGAAGUCCCCGCCCAAACGAGUAUUUUACAGAGAGCCGACAAGGAAUUCCAUUAAUAACCGGCCGUUUUGAUCCUUUGGAACAACUCGAUGAAUUUAGUAGAUCUUUUUAGGAGGCUCAAAUGACCAUAGAUAGGACCUAUCCAAUUUUUACAGUACGAUGGUUGGCUGUUCACGGACUAGCGGUACCCACCGUUUCUUUUUUGGGAUCAAUAUCAGCAAUGCAGUUCAUCCAACGAUAAACCUAAUCCGAAUUAUAGAGCUACGACACAAUCAAACCCAAACGAACAAAAUGUUGAAUUGAAUCGUACCAGUCUCUACUGGGGUUUAUUACUAAUUUUUGUACUUGCUGUUUUAUUUUCAAAUUAUUUCUUCAAUUAAUAGAAGAAAAGGAAAUAGUAAGAAUUAUCUUAUCCCAGUCGGAAAGAUAUCAUUUCAUAAUUAUCUAUGACUGUUUAUGUCUCUAGCAUGACUACUUAAUAAAAUGUGGAGGAAAGUGGGAUAAAUGGCCGAUACUACUGGAAGGAUUCCUCUUUGGAUAAUAGGUACUGUAACUGGUAUUGCUGUGAUCGGUUUAAUUGGUAUUUUCUUUUAUGGUUCAUAUUCCGGAUUGGGCUCAUCCCUGUAGUAAUUGGAUGAAUUGAGUUUUCGAAAUGAAAGUGUAAGAACUCAACAGGGAUCCACCCUUUCUUUGACAAAUUCGAGGGGGUCCCGUUGAGUUCUUAAUAAUUAAAAUAUUUUUUGUUCGUACAAAUGACUCACUAGAUAUUAGAUUGCUUUUUGCGAUUAAAAAAAAAACUCCAUUUAUUUCAUUGUUUUUGAUGAUGUUUUUGAAAAAUCAACUUCAUUAAUUGAUUCAAAACAUCUUUUACGGAAUAAUAUCUGUCAAUACUUUUUAUUUAAAAUUGAAAGAAAGAUAAAGUAAAAAAAAAGAAAGAAUAAAAGGAAUCGCUUGAUUUACUUUUUCUGGGUGGUGCAAUAUAAAUAUAAUGAAUUCUAUUGUAUUAUAUUGGAAUACAUUCUUAAUUAUAUUCUAUAUAUUUAUCGAUCAAAUAUCAUGUGAACCUAACCUUUCUUAAGUAUCCUAAUCGAAUCUUACUCUAAAUCGAUUUUAUUUUAGUAUCUAAUAGUAUCGAAUCAUGAUUGAAUUCUUUUUUCUAAACAAGUUAAUUGAAGACGUUUUGUAUUUGGUCAAUAAAAUUCCCUCUCUUUUUUGUGUUUGUCCACUACUCCACCACAUAUUAUAUGUCAUAAACAUAAAAGUUCUAAGUUGGAAAAAAUCGAAACUAAGAAUAGGAUUCUUUUAGGAAGGGGAUCCAGAAGUAUUAUUUUCUUAAAAUUUUGUAGAAUAUUUCGAUACAAGCAAGAAUGAAUCGGACGGACUCUAGGAAAAGAAAAAUAAUCCCUCCUAGAAUCCCGUUUUCCCCAUUUCGAAUUCUACUGUGCUUAAUAUGCUCUGCCUAUUUAUUUAUUUUUUAUCGAGCCGAAUUUUCGUAUAUUAGAAUAGAAAUCUAUUAAUAGAUUUCUAUUCUAAUAUACGAAAAUUCGGCUCGAUAAAAAAUAAAUAAAUAGGCAGAGCAUAUUAAGCACAGUAGAAUUCGAAAUGGGGAAAACGGGAUUCUAGGAGGGAUUAUUUUUCUUUUCCUAGAGUCCGUCCGAUUCAUUCUUGCUUGUAUCGAAAUAUUCUACAAAAUUUUAAGAAAAUAAUACUUCUGGAUCCCCUUCCUAAAAGAAUCCUAUUCUUAGUUUCGAUUUUUUCCAACUUAGAACUUUUAUGUUUAUGACAUAUAAUAUGUGGUGGAGUAGUGGACAAACACAAAAAAGAGAGGGAAUUUUAUUGACCAAAUACAAAACGUCUUCAAUUAACUUGUUUAGAAAAAAGAAUUCAAUCAUGAUUCGAUACUAUUAGAUACUAAAAUAAAAUCGAUUUAGAGUAAGAUUCGAUUAGGAUACUUAAGAAAGGUUAGGUUCACAUGAUAUUUGAUCGAUAAAUAUAUAGAAUAUAAUUAAGAAUGUAUUCCAAUAUAAUACAAUAGAAUUCAUUAUAUUUAUAUUGCACCACCCAGAAAAAGUAAAUCAAGCGAUUCCUUUUAUUCUUUCUUUUUUUUUACUUUAUCUUUCUUUCAAUUUUAAAUAAAAAGUAUUGACAGAUAUUAUUCCGUAAAAGAUGUUUUGAAUCAAUUAAUGAAGUUGAUUUUUCAAAAACAUCAUCAAAAACAAUGAAAUAAAUGGAGUUUUUUUUUUAAUCGCAAAAAGCAAUCUAAUAUCUAGUGAGUCAUUUGUACGAACAAAAAAUAUUUUAAUUAUUAAGAACUCAACGGGACCCCCUCGAAUUUGUCAAAGAAAGGGUGGAUCCCUGUUGAGUUCUUACACUUUCAUUUCGAAAACUCAAUUCAUCCAAUUACUACAGGGAUGAGCCCAAUCCGGAAUAUGAACCAUAAAAGAAAAUACCAAUUAAACCGAUCACAGCAAUACCAGUUACAGUACCUAUUAUCCAAAGAGGAAUCCUUCCAGUAGUAUCGGCCAUUUAUCCCACUUUCCUCCACAUUUUAUUAAGUAGUCAUGCUAGAGACAUAAACAGUCAUAGAUAAUUAUGAAAUGAUAUCUUUCCGACUGGGAUAAGAUAAUUCUUACUAUUUCCUUUUCUUCUAUUAAUUGAAGAAAUAAUUUGAAAAUAAAACAGCAAGUACAAAAAUUAGUAAUAAACCCCAGUAGAGACUGGUACGAUUCAAUUCAACAUUUUGUUCGUUUGGGUUUGAUUGUGUCGUAGCUCUAUAAUUCGGAUUAGGUUUAUCGUUGGAUGAACUGCAUUGCUGAUAUUGAUCCCAAAAAAGAAACGGUGGGUACCGCUAGUCCGUGAACAGCCAACCAUCGUACUGUAAAAAUUGGAUAGGUCCUAUCUAUGGUCAUUUGAGCCUCCUAAAAAGAUCUACUAAAUUCAUCGAGUUGUUCCAAAGGAUCAAAACGGCCGGUUAUUAAUGGAAUUCCUUGUCGGCUCUCUGUAAAAUACUCGUUUGGGCGGGGACUUCCAAAUACAUCGUAAGCUAAACCCGUGCUGACAAAUAGCCACCCCGCAAUGAAUAGGGAGGGUAUAGUAAUGCUAUGAAUAAUCCAGUAUCGAAUACUGGUAAUAAUAUCAGCAAAAGAACGUUCUCCUGUGCUUCCAGACAUGUCGAACUCCACAUAUUCUUGUACAGUAAAAAGGGGGUCGAUUCCAUAAAAGAUGAAAUCAUCAGUAAGUAGAAAUUUACUGAAAUUUAAUCUUUGUUAGAUCGUCAAUAUUGUACCAAGGGUGUCUUUCGAGUAUACCGAACCAGUAUAGCUAUCCUUCUUCUGAUACAGCAAUUCAAUUUCACAAUAAGUGGCGAGAUUAAGGACUAGAUAAUUUUUUUCUUCUUUGCUUGUUGGUUUGGUUGUCUCGAUGUACUGUACUAAAUGAGAGUAUAAGAAUUUUUUUAUACUCUAAAAUUAGGGUUCUCGACAUUAUUCUAUUAUUAUUAGUUUCGCACUAUACUCGAAACUGAGAAUCAAUUAAAAUGGUAAUCCGACCGAUUGGUUUCUAAUAAUUCAGGAAGGAAAUUAUCAUAUUUCUACAAUUCAAUUAGAUGUGAAAUCUAGAAAUAUACUUUUUUGUGAUUGUCAAAGAUGUUUUUUUUGUUGGAACCUACUCCCUUUUAUUUAAUUUUAAAGAGUGGAAUUGGUUAGUCGUUCAGUAACAAUAAUAGCGGUAAUAAAUUAAAUACUAUUUGAUGGAAGAAAAAGUUGAUUAGUUGUUCUUGUAUUAGACACAAAAAAGGUUCUUUCUUGGCUUAAUUACAAGGAUAAAGCUUUUUUUUAUUAAAAUUAUAAAUAGAAAAGGGGAAAGAAAAAAACGGCGGAAUACCAGUUUCGAGUGAUCUGAUACCCUCUUUCUUCUCGUUGUAUAUAUUAGAAGAAUGGAAACUCCUACUACUAAAUCUAAUGGAUUAAAAUCAAAGGAAAAAAAGUAAAUGACAUUCUAAGGUCACUCUUUCUUCUUUUCUUCUAAACUGAAGAAGGAAAAUAGAAAAAAUUAGAUACAAUAAAAAAAACAAGGGGGGUUUUCAAAUAGAUAUUUUUCGUAUUUUCUUUCAUAUUAAUUUUAAGUUGAAUUAAAUUAAACAACAAAGUUUCUUUUUAUUCUUUUU
rnacentral:lncRNA from 1 species